CAAACCCUCUCUUCCCCUUAAGCGUAUCAAUCAUAUUCAGCAUUCGUGGGUUGUCUUUGUGUUGUUCGUGUACAGAUCCGACGUUUGCGGGUUGUCAUCAUGUUGUUCGUGUGCAGAUCAGGCUGUGCAGAUCGUGUUUUGGCAGAUUCGGCCGUGCAGAUCACGUUUCACCUGCAGAUCCAACGUUUACGUGCAAAUCUGACGGUCCAAAUCGUGUUUCACGUGCAGAUCCGACCAUGCAAAUCCAGCGUUCGCGGUUCUUCUUCCUCGUGAAAACGUCACUCCAUUUCCUCUGGAACCAGAUGCGACCAAUCGGAGUCCAAUGACAACCGCACCAGUAGUCAGACGCCAUGCCGCCAUCAAGAGCACUCACGAUCAGGCUCGUCCACGUCAGAUGCAUGCCCAGCUUUGGGUUCGCAUUGCUGUGGGUUUUUGCUUGGGUUUAACGUGCGUUCUGGGUGCAAGUAGUCCUCCUCCAUCGCCGUUUCGUGAGGUCGCCACCGGUGGAUCAUCAACUGUGCCAACUGGUGUGGGCGGUUUUGGUGAAGUUGAAGAUCAGAAUUAAGACUAGGGGCAACGGUUUCCAAGUGUACUGAGCUAAUGAAACAAAGACAAAGUGGAGAGGGAAAGUAACAUUGGCGAGGAAGUUGGGUGGUCAAAAAAUGUAGAAGUGGCAAAAGUGAAUCCAAAACUUCCAGCAAUGAACAAGAAAUUCGAGAUGAUUCAUGGCUUGUCAUCUCUUGCUAAUAUUAUGGCAUUUGGUAGUCUUGCAAUGCUCUCCUGGUAUUUGGCAGGUGGGAGAAUAGUCCCUAGCUCCAGAAAUUGACAUUAGAAAACUUUGGAAGGCAUCGUUGAACACUAUUCAUUUAUCUUCAGCUUAUUUUUAAUCAUUUUAAC